rnacentral:misc_RNA from 1 species
GAUGCUUGGGGAAGGUUCGGAUGCUUAAAAUAGUUGAUUCUUAGGCAGGUAAAGUUUCGGGUCUGGAUUGACUCGAACGGAUCUGGAGAUCCGAUUAGUUUUAGAUGACCGGACAGGUGCCAAUGGACUCGCUUGAAGAUGGCCAAUUGUUUUCUGGUGAUGGCGCUUGGAUUUGAAGGCUGGACAGUGAUGGGUCUUGGUGUUUGCUUGGUGGUGGCGGCGGCUGUGACUCUUUUUUUGGUUUUCUAUUUUUUUUCUUUUAACAGUAAUAAAGGUGUCAUAUGUUUCGAAGGCUGAAUGAAAAUUUUGAC